AAGACCUUGCGCUUUUGGAGCGGCCGAUGUCUGAUUAGCUUGUUGGUGAGGUAAAAGCUUACCAAGGCUUCGAUCAGUAGCUGGUUUGAGAGGACGGCCAGCCACACUGGGACUGAGACACGGCCCAGACUCCUACGGGAGGCAGCAGUGGGGAAUUUUGGACAAUGGGGGCAACCCUGAUCCAGCCAUGCCGCGUGAGUGAAGAAGGCCUUCGGGUUGUAAAGCUCUUUCAGCCGGAACGAAACGGUUACGGUUAAUACCCGUGACUACUGACGGUACCGGAAGAAGAAGCACCGGCUAACUACGUGCCAGCAGCCGCGGUAAUACGUAGGGUGCAAGCGUUAAUCGGAAUUACUGGGCGUAAAGCGUGCGCAGGUGGUUUUGUAAGUCAGAUGUGAAAUCCCCGGGCUUAACCUGGGAACU
rnacentral:rRNA from 1 species